rnacentral:rRNA from 1 species
UGGGGAAUUUUGGACAAUGGGCGAAAGCCUGAUCCAGCAAUGCCGCGUGUGUGAAGAAGGCCUUCGGGUUGUAAAGCACUUUUGUCCGGAAAGAAAUCCUUGGCUCUAAUACAGCCGGGGGAUGACGGUACCGGAAGAAUAAGCACCGGCUAACUACGUGCCAGCAGCCGCGGUAAUGCGUAGGGUGCAAGCGUUAAUCGGAAUUACUGGGCGUAAAGCGUGCGCAGGCGGUUUGCUAAGACCGAUGUGAAAUCCCCGGGCUCAACCUGGGAACUGCAUUGGUGACUGGCAGGCUAGAGUAUGGCAGAGGGGGGUAGAAUUCCACGUGUAGCAGUGAAAUGCGUAGAGAUGUGGAGGAAUACCGAUGGCGAAGGCAGCCCCCUGGGCCAAUACUGACGCUCAUGCACGAAAGCGUGGGGAGCAAACAGGAUUAGAUACCCUGGUAGUCCACGCCCUAAAACGAUGUCAACUAGUUGUUGGGGAUUCAUUUCCUUAGUAACGUAGCUAACGCGUGAAGUUGACCGCCUGGGGAGUACGGUCGCAAGAUUAAAACUCAAAUGAAUUGACGGGGUCAUAGCU